rnacentral:lncRNA from 1 species
GGGUGUGGGGAAACAGCCCGAGGGGCGGCCCGGCGGCACAAAGAGGGAGAAGGGCAUGAAUUAAUCAGGGAAUAUUUUAUAUGAGCUUAAAAUUGUGAGGGUGCUCACUGUGUGGUUUUGGGGUCAGAUGCAGCGUCCCGAUUCAGGAGAGCUGUUCGAGGUGGAGAUCGCCGGCGGCACAUGCAAGAUCCCUUUGUGCCUGAGACUGGGAUGAGAGUACCCUCCUUACAGCAAGGCAGGAAUCCACUGACAGGAACCACGUGUGAGACUGACCCAACCAGCCCUGCUUGCCCACCAUGCAGAGCCUCUCUGGGGUGUCCUGUCCAGCCAGGCCAGGUCUCCUGGUGGCAUCAUGAAAUGCCCAUCAGCUCCUCUUUGGCCACCACAGAGCUUUGGCUUGAGAAGAUAUUCAGGAUGUUGUCAGAGAAGAGUGGGACUCAUCUACUAAAACCUGGCAAUGCAGCCUUGUCUGUUCUCCAUGGAGAGUGCAGCCCUCCGUGCUCGACUGGCUUAGGACCAUUUUCCUCUGGCUCCAGCAGGAAAACCAGCACAGGUGACCUCCCUGGCACCAGCACAGGUGACCUCACUGGUGGUUUCAGGUUCCUGAUUUGUUUAGUCAGCUUCCAAUGCCUUCAUACUUUCUCAGGGACUGCUGCCAAGGCUGGACACGGUCUGUUUGUAUCGUUGGGAUCUCCUCCCCACAUCUGAUACCAGGACUCCACUUCCCUGGCUGAUGGAGUCGCCUUAUGAGAAUGAGACCAGGACAGCUGGAUCACAGACCUGCAAACCAGGCUUGGGCAAGGUGAACUUGUGCUUUUACUGUGAAUGUAGGCUGAAAGUACAUGUAUUUUAACAACUUUGCUAUCCUUCUACAUGAAAGAAAGAUCUGCUUGCUUUCUCUUUAGAUGAGUCCUUCUCCUGCAGGUUUGUCCUGUUCUUGUGUCACCACUAAUGCACUUAGGACUGAAUAAGCUCCCUGGCUGUUGCAUCAUGAGCAGAAUUAUUGCUUGCACUUCCUGAAUUUAUCUUCAUUUUCAUAUUGAAGUCAGCAAUAGUAGCUUUUAAUAUUAAAUGGGCCAGGCUGACAACUAGUAAAUUGAAACAGCAAACAAAAUGUGAUAUAAAAAUCAGAGGAGUCACCAUUGCUUUUCUUCCAAACACUUGAAAUAAGAGUAAAAAUCUUAUUUCAGUUUUACUGCUUGUAAAGGAGAAGGAACACUGGGG